GAUAGCCAUAACAACAUCUAGACUAAAUGCAGUCACAUACAACAUUGUGGCACUACACAAAGAAUAAAACUGAACAGAUGAGAAAAGGUUAUCCAAUGCAUAAGCCAUUCAUGAAAAAUGUAAAAUUCUAUUUCUUAAUCCACACUUCUCCUAAACAGUUUAGAAAUAUUUCCAAAAUGAGACUUAUGGAGCAGCAAACUCCAUGUUUUAUAUCAUAAAAGCAUUAAAAAAACAAAACAAAAUCACACUGCCUUCUGGAUCAUAUUUUAAGCAAUAAUAUAAAUGGUUAUAUCACAUUAAAAACUAGUAUAUGUUUUAAACCCUGGGUAGGGACCCUAUGAUAUUUCAGAUGGUCCUCGUUAUUUGGAAGAGUUAUAAAAAUCCCCCAUGAUAAACUUGAGAAGAGUGGUUUUGUUCGGUAAUAUUCUUGUAGAUUCUAAACAAGGAAUGCCAAGGUAAUGCCAUCUAUGUGAAUAGGCAGUCAGUGGCUUAGCAUAACUGCAGUUCUUGUCUGUUGUCUUUUAGAUAAGCCAACUAAUUUGUAAGAUGAUUUGUUGCUCCUGCUUGUCAG